rnacentral:pre_miRNA from 1 species
GUACUACUCCCUCCGUUCGGAAUUACUUGUCCAAAAAGUAAAUGUAUCUAGAUGUAUUUUAGUUGUAGAUACAUCCAUUUUUGUGACAAGUAAUUCUGAACGGAGGGAGUACUCG